rnacentral:lncRNA from 1 species
CAAAACUGCAAAUCUUUUCAUGACCUAGCUUCAGAAAUCUCAGAUUUUGGAUGGUUAGAAUAAAGUCACUGAGGCCAGCUCAGAUUCAAGAAGAGAGAAAUUAGACAACUUCAUUUGAUGAGAAGAGUAACAUGUAUACACAGGGAAGAAAGGGAUUGAUUGUUGCUAUCUUUGAUUGUUUACUACUUCCUACUCUUUGGCGUCUCAAAUUCUCCCUCCCAACCUCAAUGCCCCAAACUAGAGGGCCCAGCAUAAUGCUGUGCCAAGUGGGGGAGAACCAAUAUGGAGUAGUGGGGUUAAGACCAUUGAUGUUUAGAGGCAGGGAGACCUGGGUUUGAGUGGGAUUUUCCACUUACCAUCUGUGGAUCUUGAGCAAUUUGUCUAACCUGUCUGAGUCUCAUUUGGCUCAUUUGUAAAAGGGUGUUAAUAUAUAUGUACUUCCUUUCUUUGUACCCGUUUGGGGCAUGGGGGAGGAUGCUGAUCUCAAUGGAUUCCUUUGACUUUCUGGCUUCUGUUUAGGUUCAGCCAAUGAAGGAUUCAGCAGGAGACUGGAGAGCACAGGCAAGACAGUUUGAAAUAUUUAUUUCCACUGAAAUGCUACAGAUCUGUCAUUAGCUGUGAUAUUCCAUGACCACAGUUUCUGCAGGGCAACUUACCUUCCUGGCUCCAGCUCUCACUGCUUCGUUGCUUUGCCUCUUCAGGACUAGAGUUAAGAACUUAAGAUCCAGUACCAGGUCAUUUGCAAUUAGUCAGGACUGUGUGACUAUUCCUACACAGUGCAUCAUAAGUGGAAAUGACAUGGGAUACUUCUGGACUGAAGCAUGGAAGAGAAGGCAUGAAGUCUCCUGCCCUUCCUUUUUAUUCCUCAAUGACAGUGGCAGCACCAUCUUGAGAUAGUUUAGCCACUAGAUGGAAACAGCUGGAUUGCCAGAUCACUGCUUGGAAGGAGCUACAGAAUUUCCAUGAGAGAAAAAUAAAUGUUCAUAUGUCAAGCCA